UACGAAGGGGGCUAGCGUUGCUCGGAAUCACUGGGCGUAAAGGGCGCGUAGGCGGCCAUUCAAGUCGGGGGUGAAAGCCUGUGGCUCAACCACAGAAUUGCCUUCGAUACUGUUUGGCUUGAGUAUGGUAGAGGUCGGUGGAACUGCGAGUGUAGAGGUGAAAUUCGUAGAUAUUCGCAGGAACACCAGUGGCGAAGGCGGCCGACUGGACCAUUACUGACGCUGAGGCGCG
rnacentral:rRNA from 1 species